rnacentral:rRNA from 1 species
CGGUAAUACGUAGGGUGCAAGCGUUAAUCGGAAUUACUGGGCGUAAAGCGUGCGCAGGCGGUGAUGUAAGACAGGUGUGAAAUCCCCGGGCUUAACCUGGGAACUGCAUUUGUGACUGCAUUGCUGGAGUGCGGCAGAGGGGGGUGGAAUUCCGCGUGUAGCAGUGAAAUGCGUAGAUAUGCGGAGGAACACCGAUGGCGAAGGCAAUCCCCUGGGCCUGCACUGACGCUCAUGCACGAAAGCGUGGGGAGCAAACAGGAUUAGAUACCCUGGUAGUCCACGCCCUAAACGAUGUCAACUGGUUGUUGGUCCUUCACUGGAUCAGUAACGAAGCUAACGCGUGAAGUUGACCGCCUGGGGAGUACGGCCGCAAGGUUGAA